rnacentral:rRNA from 1 species
AUUGAACGCUGGCGGCAUGCUUUACACAUGCAAGUCGAACGCGAAAGGGGGCAACCCUGAGUAGAGUGGCGAACGGGUGAGUAAUGCAUCGGAACGUGUCCUGUAGCGGGGGACAACCCCGAGAAAUCGGGGCUAAUACCGCAUACGUCCUACGGGAGAAAGUGGGGUCGCAAGACCUCACACUAUAGGGGCGGCCGAUGCCGGAUUAGCUAGUUGGUGGGGUAAAAGCUCACCAAGGCGACGAUCCGUAGCUGGUCUGAGAGGAUGAUCAGCCACACUGGGACUGAGACACGGCCCAGACUCCUACGGGUGGCAG